rnacentral:rRNA from 1 species
AGUGGCGAACGGGUGAGUAAUGCGUGAGCAACCUGCCCUUCAGAGGGGGACAACAGCUGGAAACGGCUGCUAAUACCGCAUAACACACCGGGGUGGCAUCACCCUGGUGUCAAAGGAGCAAUCCGCUGAGAGAUGGGCUCACGUCUGAUUAGCUGGUUGGUGAGGUAACGGCUCACCAAGGCGACGAUCAGUAGCCGGUCUGAGAGGAUGAACGGCCACAUUGGGACUGAGAUACGGCCCAGACUCCUACGGGAGGCAGCAGUGGGGAAUAUUGGGCAAUGGGCGAAAGCCUGACCCAGCAACGCCGCGUGAAGGAAGAAGGCUUUCGGGUUGUAAACUUCUUUUAUCAGGGACGAAGGAUGUGACGGUACCUGAUGAAUAAGCCACGGCUAACUACGUGCCAGCAGCCGCGGUAAUAUGUAGGUGGCAAGCGUUGUCCGGAAUUACUGGGUGUAAAGGGAGCGCAGGCGGGAAGACAAGUUGGAAGUGAAAUCUAUGGGCUCAACCCAUAAACUGCUUUCAAAACUGUUUUUCUUGAGUGGUGCAGAGGUAGGCGGAAUUCCCGGUGUAGCGGUGGAAUGCGUAGAUAUCGGGAGGAACACCAGUGGCGAAGGCGGCCUACUGGGCACCAACUGACGCUGAGGCUCGAAAGUGUGGGUAGCAAACAGGAUUAGAUACCCUGGUAGUCCACACCGUAAACGAUGAUUACUAGGUGUUGGAGGAUUGACCCCUUCAGUGCCGCAGUUAACACAAUAAGUAAUCCACCUGGGGAGUACGACCGCAAGGUUGAAACUCAAAGGAAUUGACGGGGGCCCGCACAAGCAGUGGAGUAUGUGGUUUAAUUCGACGCAACGCGAAGAACCUUACCAAGUCUUGACAUCCUGCGACGCACAUAGAAAUAUGUGUUUCCUUCGGGACGCAGAGACAGGUGGUGCAUGGUUGUCGUCAGCUCGUGUCGUGAGAUGUUGGGUUAAGUCCCGCAACGAGCGCAACCCUUAUCCUCAGUAGCCAGCAAGUGAAGUUGGGCACUCUGUGGAGACUGCCAGGGAUAACCUGGAGGAAGGUGGGGAUGACGUCAAAUCAUCAUGCCCCUUAUGAUUUGGGCUACACACGUGCUACAAUGGCGUAAACAAAGGGAAGCGAUCACGCGAGUGUGAGCAAAUCCCAAAAAUAACGUCUCAGUUCGGAUUGUAGUCUGCAACUCGACUACAUGAAGCUGGAAUCGCUAGUAAUCGCGAAUCAGAAUGUCGCGGUGAAUACGUUCCCGGGUCUUGUACACACCGCCCGUCA